rnacentral:SRP_RNA from 2 species
CGGCAAGUCCUACACAACUAGCUCCCUUUGAAUCCCCCAGGGCGGGAACGCAGCAAGGGUAUUAGGUUGAGCAGUGUGAUGUAGGUAGCUUGCCUUUU